GCCUCCAUAGCUCAGGGGCAGAGCACUAGUCUCGUAAACUAGGGGUCGUGAGUUCAAUUCUCACUGGGGGCA
rnacentral:tRNA from 1 species